GAUGAACGCUGACAGAAUGCUUAACACAUGUAAGUCCACUUGAAUUUGGGUUUUUACCUUAGGUUUGGGUGGCGGACGGGUGAGUAACGCGUAAAGAACUUGCCUCACAGCUAGGGACAACAUUUGGAAACGAAUGCUAAUACCUAAUAUUAUGAUAAUAGGGCAUCCUAUAAUUAUGAAAGCUAUAAGCGCUGUGAGAGAGCUUUGCGUCCCAUUAGCUAGUUGGAGAGGUAACGGCUCACCAAGGCGAUGAUGGGUAGCCGGCCUGAGAGGGUGAUCGGCCACAAGGGGACUGAGACACGGCCCUUACUCCUACGGGAGGCAGCAGUGGGGAAUAUUGGACAAUGGACCGAGAGUCUGAUCCAGCAAUUCUGUGUGCACGAUGAAGUUUUUCGGAAUGUAAAGUGCUUUCAGUUGGGAAGAAACAAAUGACGGUACCAACAGAAGAAGUGACGGCUAAAUACGUG
rnacentral:rRNA from 1 species